GAUGCUUGAGUGUUGUAAUCUGCUAACUAGGAGAAUCCACGAUCAUAGUUAUGAUUAUGUGUUAAAUUGACUAUUGUGAAAGUAUGUGUUAUUAUUGUCACGAUGUUUAAUCAAUAUCAAACAUGUAUGUCACAGUCAAAGUCAAAGUCAGCUUUAUUGUCAAU